rnacentral:tRNA from 1 species
GAGGCAUAGCUCAGCUGGUUAGAGUGCUUGCUUGACAUGCAAGAGGUCAGUGGUUCGAUUCCACUUGUCUCC